rnacentral:rRNA from 1 species
AAUCAUGGCUCAGGACGAACGCUGGCGGCGUGCCUAACACAUGCAAGUCGAACGGGGAAUUUUAUUUCGGUAGAAUUCUUAGUGGCGAACGGGUGAGUAACGCGUAGGCAACCUGCCCUUUAGACGGGGACAACAUUCCGAAAGGAGUGCUAAUACCGGAUGUGAUCAUCUUGCCGCAUGGCAGGAUGAAGAAAGAUGGCCUCUACAAGUAAGCUAUCGCUAAAGGAUGGGCCUGCGUCUGAUUAG